rnacentral:ncRNA from 1 species
ACUCUGGAUAACUUUGCGGAUCGCACGGUCUAGCACCGGCGACGGAUCAUUCAAGUGUCUGCCCUAUCAACUUUCGUCGGUACGGUAUUUGCCUACCGAGGUUCUUACGGGUGACGGGGAAUCAGGGUUCGAUUCCGGAGAGGGAGCCUGAGAAACGGCUACCACAUCCAAGGAAGGCAGCAGGCGCGCAAAUUACCCAUUCCCGACGCGGGGAGGUAGUGACGAAAAAUAACAAUGCAGGACUCGUUCGAGGCCCUGUAAUUGGAAUGAGUACACUUUAAAAGCUUUAACGAGUAUCCAUUGGAGGGCAAGUCUGGUGCCAGCAGCCGCGGUAAUUCCAGCUCCAAAAGUAUAUAUUUAAGUUGUUGCGGUUAAAAAGCUCGUAGUUGGAUUUUGGGCGCAGGCGGCCGGUCCGUCGCAAGGCGUGUACUGGACGUCCUGGCCUUCCCUCCGGUUCUCCGCCGGUGCUCUUGACUGAGUGUCGGCGGCGGCCGGAACGUUUACUUUGAAAAAAUUAGAGUGUUCAAAGCAGGCUCUCGAGCCUGGAUAAUGGUGCAUGGAAUAAUGGAAUAGGACCUCGGUUCUAUUUUGUUGGUUUUCGGAGCGCGAGGUAAUGAUUAAGAGGGACAGACGGGGGCAUUCGUACUGUGCCGUUAGAGGUGGAAUUCUUGGAUCGGCGCAAGACGAACGACUGCGAAAGCAUUUGCCAAGAAUGUUUU